rnacentral:rRNA from 1 species
AUACGUAGGGUGCGAGCGUUAAUCGGAAUUACUGGGCGUAAAGCGUGCGCAGGCGGCUUUGCAAGACAGAGGUGAAAUCCCCGGGCUCAACCUGGGAACUGCCUUUGUGACUGCAAGGCUAGAGUACGGCAGAGGGGGAUGGAGUUCCGCGUGUAGCAGUGAAAUGCGUAGAUAUGCGGAGGAACACCAAUGGCGAAGGCAAUCCCCUGGGCCUGUACUGACGCUCAUGCACGAAAGCGUGGGGAGCAAACAGGAUUAGAAACCCUAGUAGUCC